GACGAACGCUGGCGGCGUGCUUAACACAUGCAAGUCGAACGAAGUGGCGAACGGGUGAGUAACGCGUAAUCAACUUGCCCUUCAGAGGGGGACAACAGUGGGAAACGUCUGCUAAUACCGCAUACUGAUGGACGAGACUGAGUCUGAUUAGCUAGUUGGAGGGGAAACGGCCCACCAAGGCGAUGAUCAGUAGCCGGGCUGAGAGGUUGAACGGCCACAUUGGGACUGAGACACGGCCCAGACUCCUACGGGAGGCAGCAGUGGGGAAUCUUCCGCAAUGGACGAAAGUCUGACGGAGCAACGCCGCGUGAGUGAUGACGGCCUUCGGGUUGUAAAGCUCUGUUAAUCGGGACGCGGUACCGGAAUAGAAAGCCACGGCUAACUACGUGCCAGCAGCCGCGGUAAUAC
rnacentral:rRNA from 1 species